GUUUUACUCCCUCCGUUCGGAAUUACUCGUCGAAAAAUGAAUGUAUCUAGAUGUAUUUUAGUUGUAGAUACAUCCAUUUUUAUGACAAGUAAUUUCGAACGGAGGGAGUUGAUG
rfam:Triticum urartu cultivar G1812 contig467092, whole genome shotgun sequence.